GUGCUCGCUUUGGCAGCACAUAUACUGGGGUUGGAAGGAUACAGAGAAGAUCAGCAUGGCCCUUGCCCAAGGAUGACAUGCAAAUUCGUGAAGCGUUUCAUAUUUAA